UCCCUGGUGGCUCAGACGGUAAAGCAUCUGCCUAAAGCGCAGGAGACCCGGGUUCAGUCCCUGGGUUGGGAA
rnacentral:tRNA from 1 species